ACAUGCCUACAACAUAGCGUUAAUGCAUUAGAUCCCAUUAGAAUUCCACAGUUAAGCACACUUAGGCUAGAGUAGUAGUGGGAUGGGUGACCACCUGAGAAGUCCUAGUGUUUUACAUGCC
rnacentral:rRNA from 1 species